UUUUUAGCCUAUCCUGGCACUCCCUUUGGAGACCAGUCUGGCCUCGAACUCAGAGAUCUGCUUGCUGGGACUAAAGGCUGCUACAUUCUCCUUUUGAUAAGUUAGACACGGAGGCCCUGUCAACAUCUGCAUUUUGGAGUCUCUCCGAGUUCAGACGGCUGUGCCACCUUCGCGCCUCGCAGCGGUCUGUGCACACCGGCCACGCCUGGCAUUCGCGCCACCUCUCAGCGCACCUAUAGCGCCGCCCUGGCGGGCGGGGCGGACACUGGCCGACCAGACGCUCAGCUAGCCGCUGGCUGCGCAUGCUCUCUGUUCGCGCUCUGCUCCCCGGCCGCACCUCCGCGGCCCCGCCCCCGAGCGGUUGGAAUUUGAAUCUCCAGCGCGACGCUGCAGGAAGCCUGGAACCCUGGGUCAGGCAUGGAGAGCCCAGGCUCCGUCUCGCGCUGCCCGGUGCGACAGCAGCGUGCUCGUUGGGAACGGAAACGUGUCUGCACCGCUCGGGAGCUGCUGGAGACUGAGCGGCGCUACCAGGAGCAACUGGGGCUGGUGGCCACAUACUUCCUGGGAAUCCUGAAAGCCAAGGGGACACUACGACCACCAGAGCGCCAGACCCUGUUUGGGAUCUGGGAGCGCAU